rnacentral:misc_RNA from 1 species
UUAAGUUCAGCGGGUAGUCCUACCUGAUUUGAGGUCAAAUUGUCAAGUAUUGUCCAGAAUGAACAGACGGUUGGAAGCAGUGCAAAACCCAUAUGAUUGCAGAUAUCCACGGCGUAGAUAAUUAUCACACCAAUAGACAGUCCACGCGGGGCACCGGCUAAUGCAUUUAAGGGGAGCUGACCAUCUGUAAAGAAGCCAGC